rnacentral:rRNA from 1 species
UUGAACUAUGGGAUCAUCACCCUCAUCCCUAAGGUGGUCGGGUCCUUGUACAUCUGCCAAUUCCGCCCUAUUACAGUGAUCAAUGUAAUCUUCCAUAUUCUGGCAAAGGGGUACGCCAAUAGGGUGACCCUGCUAGCUGACCACAUCACCCAUAGGAAUCAGUCGGCCUUCAUCAAGGGCCGACACAUCUUGGAUGGGGUACUGGUGUUCCAUGAAGUCCUUCAUGAGGUCGUCAGGCGUCAGCAGGCGGUCUUCCUGAAGAUUGACUUCCAUAAGGCCUACGACACUGUCCACUUGCCCUUCCUUCGGGAUGUCCUCCUCCAUAAAGGGUUUGACGAUAGGUGGGUCACCAGUGUGAUGCAGAUGGUGUCCUGUGGCCACACCGCGGUUAACAUUAAAGGGGAGAUCGGCCCCUUCUUCCCCACCCUAUCUGGGGUGAGACAAGGCGACCCCUUCUCCCCUUUUUUGUUCAACAUUCUGGUUUGA